rnacentral:rRNA from 1 species
GGGUUGUGAGGUUAAGCGACUAAGCGUACACGGUGGAUGCCCUGGCAGUCAGAGGCGAUGAAGGACGUGCUAAUCUGCGAUAAGCGUCGGUAAGGUGAUAUGAACCGUUAUAACCGGCGAUUUCCGAAUGGGGAAACCCAGUGUGAUUCGUCACACUAUCAUUAACUGAAUCCAUAGGUUAAUGAGGCGAACCGGGGGAACUGAAACAUCUAAGUACCCCGAGGAAAAGAAAUCAACCGAGAUUCCCCCAGUAGCGGCGAGCGAACGGGGAGGAGCCCAGAGCCUGAAUCAGUGUGUGUGUUAGUGGAAGCGUCUGGAAAGGCGCGCGAUACAGGGUGACAGCCCCGUACACAAAAAUGCACAUAUUGUGAGCUCGAUGAGUAGGGCGGGACACGUGGUAUCCUGUCUGAAUAUGGGGGGACCAUCCUCCAAGGCUAAAUACUCCUGACUGACCGAUAGUGAACCAGUACCGUGAGGGAAAGGCGAAAAGAACCCCGGCGAGGGGAGUGAAAAAGAACCUGAAACCGUGUACGUACAAGCAGUGGGAGCACGCUUAGGCGUGUGACUGCGUACCUUUUGUAUAAUGGGUCAGCGACUUAUAUUCUGUAGCAAGGUUAACCGAAUAGGGGAGCCGAAGGGAAACCGAGUCUUAACUGGGCGUUAAGUUGCAGGGUAUAGACCCGAAACCCGGUGAUCUAGCCAUGGGCAGGUUGAAGGUUGGGUAACACUAACUGGAGGACCGAACCGACUAAUGUUGAAAAAUUAGCGGAUGACUUGUGGCUGGGGGUGAAAGGCCAAUCAAACCGGGAGAUAGCUGGUUCUCCCCGAAAGCUAUUUAGGUAGCGCCUCGUGAAUUCAUCUCCGGGGGUAGAGCACUGUUUCGGCAAGGGGGUCAUCCCGACUUACCAACCCGAUGCAAACUGCGAAUACCGGAGAAUGUUAUCACGGGAGACACACGGCGGGUGCUAACGUCCGUCGUGAAGAGGGAAACAACCCAGACCGCCAGCUAAGGUCCCAAAGUCAUGGUUAAGUGGGAAACGAUGUGGGAAGGCCCAGACAGCCAGGAUGUUGGCUUAGAAGCAGCCAUCAUUUAAAGAAAGCGUAAUAGCUCACUGGUCGAGUCGGCCUGCGCGGAAGAUGUAACGGGGCUAAACCAUGCACCGAAGCUGCGGCAGCGACGCUUAUGCGUUGUUGGGUAGGGGAGCGUUCUGUAAGCCUGUGAAGGUGUGCUGUGAGGCAUGCUGGAGGUAUCAGAAGUGCGAAUGCUGACAUAAGUAACGAUAAAGCGGGUGAAAAGCCCGCUCGCCGGAAGACCAAGGGUUCCUGUCCAACGUUAAUCGGGGCAGGGUGAGUCGACCCCUAAGGCGAGGCCGAAAGGCGUAGUCGAUGGGAAACAGGUUAAUAUUCCUGUACUUGGUGUUACUGCGAAGGGGGGACGGAGAAGGCUAUGUUGGCCGGGCGACGGUUGUCCCGGUUUAAGCGUGUAGGCUGGUUUUCCAGGCAAAUCCGGAAAAUCAAGGCUGAGGCGUGAUGACGAGGCACUACGGUGCUGAAGCAACAAAUGCCCUGCUUCCAGGAAAAGCCUCUAAGCAUCAGGUAACAUCAAAUCGUACCCCAAACCGACACAGGUGGUCAGGUAGAGAAUACCAAGGCGCUUGAGAGAACUCGGGUGAAGGAACUAGGCAAAAUGGUGCCGUAACUUCGGGAGAAGGCACGCUGAUAUGUAGGUGAAGCGACUUGCUCGUGGAGCUGAAAUCAGUCGAAGAUACCAGCUGGCUGCAACUGUUUAUUAAAAACACAGCACUGUGCAAACACGAAAGUGGACGUAUACGGUGUGACGCCUGCCCGGUGCCGGAAGGUUAAUUGAUGGGGUCAGCGCAAGCGAAGCUCUUGAUCGAAGCCCCGGUAAACGGCGGCCGUAACUAUAACGGUCCUAAGGUAGCGAAAUUCCUUGUCGGGUAAGUUCCGACCUGCACGAAUGGCGUAAUGAUGGCCAGGCUGUCUCCACCCGAGACUCAGUGAAAUUGAACUCGCUGUGAAGAUGCAGUGUACCCGCGGCAAGACGGAAAGACCCCGUGAACCUUUACUAUAGCUUGACACUGAACAUUGAGCCUUGAUGUGUAGGAUAGGUGGGAGGCUUUGAAGUGUGGACGCCAGUCUGCAUGGAGCCG